rnacentral:rRNA from 1 species
GACGAACGCUGGCGGCGUGCUUAACACAUGCAAGUCGAACGGAAAGGCCCUGCUUUUGUGGGGUGCUCGAGUGGCGAACGGGUGAGUAACACGUGAGUAACCUGCCCUUGACUUUGGGAUAACUUCAGGAAACUGGGGCUAAUACCGGAUAGGAGCUCCUGCUGCAUGGUGGGGGUUGGAAAGUUUCGGCGGUUGGGGAUGGACUCGCGGCUUAUCAGCUUGUUGGUGGGGUAGUGGCUUACCAAGGCUUUGACGGGUAGCCGGCCUGAGAGGGUGACCGGCCACAUUGGGACUGAGAUACGGCCCAGACUCCUACGGGAGGCAGCAGUGGGGAAUAUUGCACAAUGGGCGGAAGCCUGAUGCAGCAACGCCGCGUGCGGGAUGACGGCCUUCGGGUUGUAAACCGCUUUCGCCUGUGACGAAGCGUGAGUGACGGUAAUGGGUAAAGAAGCACCGGCUAACUACGUGCCAGCAGCCGCGGUGAUACGUAGGGUGCGAGCGUUGUCCGGAUUUAUUGGGCGUAAAGGGCUCGUAGGUGGUUGAUCGCGUCGGAAGUGUAAUCUUGGGGCUUAACCCUGAGCGUGCUUUCGAUACGGGUUGACUUGAGGAAGGUAGGGGAGAAUGGAAUUCCUGGUGGAGCGGUGGAAUGCGCAGAUAUCAGGAGGAACACCAGUGGCGAAGGCGGUUCUCUGGGCCUUUCCUGACGCUGAGGAGCGAAAGCGUGGGGAGCGAACAGGCUUAGACACCCUGGUAGUCCACGCUGUAAACGGUGGGUACUAGGUGUGGGGUCCAUUCCACGGGUUCCGUGCCGUAGCUAACGCUUUAAGUACCCCGCCUGGGGAGUACGGCCGCAAGGCUAAAACUCAAAGGAAUUGACGGGGCCCCGCACAAGCGGCGGAGCAUGCGGAUUAAUUCGAUGCAACGCGUAGAACCUUACCUGGGUUUGACAUGGAUCGGGAGUGCCCAGAGAUGGGUGUGCCUCUUUUGGGGUCGGUUCACAGGUGGUGCAUGGCUGUCGUCAGCUCGUGUCGUGAGAUGUUGGGUUAAGUCCCGCAACGAGCGCAACCCUUGUUCACUGUUGCCAGCACGUUAUGGUGGGGACUCAGUGGAGACCGCCGGGGUCAACUCGGAGGAAGGUGGGGAUGACGUCAAGUCAUCAUGCCCCUUAUGUCCAGGGCUUCACGCAUGCUACAAUGGCUGGUACAGAGAGUGGCGAGCCUGUGAGGGUGAGCGAAUCUCGGAAAGCCGGUCUCAGUUUGGAUUGGGGUCUGCAACUCGACCUCAUGAAGUCGGAGUCGCUAGUAAUCGCAGAUCAGCAACGCUGCGGUGAAUACGUUCCCGGG